GGUAGAAAAGCCCAGUAGCGAGUUGACAUGGUGCCCGUACCCCAAACCAACACAGGUGGACAGGUAGAGCAUACCAAGGCGAGUGGGAUAACUAUGGUUAAGGAACUCGGCAAAUUUCCUCCGUAACUUCGGGAUAAGGAGGACCCCAGUAGCGUGACGAGACUUGCUCUCCGAGCGUGAAGGGGUGGCACAAAAUUGAGGGAAGCGACUGUUUACCAAAAACACAGCAGCGUGCUAAGCCGUAAGGCGCUGUAUACGCUGUGACUCCUGCCCGGUGCUGGAAGGUUACGGGGAUGGGUUAGUCCUUCGGGACGAAGCUCUGAACCUAAGCCCCAGUAAACGGCGGCCGUAACUAUAACGGUCCUAAGGUAGCGAAAUUCCUUGUCGGGUAAGUUCCGACCUGCACGAAUGGAGUAACGACUUCCCUACUGUCUCAACCAUAGACCCAGCGAAAUUGAAGUACGAGUAAAGAUGCUCGUUAGCUGCAGAAGGACGGAAAGACCCCGUGGACCUUUACUAUAACUUGAUGUUGUGUUUUGUCAUAUGUUGUGUAGGAUAGGUGGGAGACAAGGAAGCAUGGACGCUAGUCUGUGUGGAGUCAUCGUUGAAAUACCACCCUGCAUAUGGUGAGGCUCUAACCUAGACCCGUUAUCCGGGUUGGGGACAGCGUCAGGCGGGUAGUUUAACUGGGGCGGUUGCCUCCUAAAGAGUAACGGAGGCGCCCAAAGGUUCCCUCAGCCUGGUUGGCAAUCAGGUGUCGAGUGCAAUGGCAAAAGGGAGCUUGACUGCGAGACCUACAAGUCGAGCAGGAGCGAAAGCUGGGCAUAGUGAUCCGGCGGUUGCGUGUGGAAGCGCCGUCGCUCAACGGAUAAAAGGUACCCCGGGGAUAACAGGCUAAUCUUGCCCAAGCGUCCAUAGCGACGGCAAGGUUUGGCACCUCGAUGUCGGCUCAUCGCAUCCUGGGGCUGAAGCAGGUCCCAAGGGUUGGGCUGUUCGCCCAUUAAAGCGGUACGCGAGCUGGGUUCAGAACGUCGUGAGACAGUUCGGUCCCUAUCCUCUGUAGCCGUAGGUGAAUUGAGGAAAGCUGUCCCUAGUACGAGAGGACCGGGACGGACGCAGCUCUCGUGUGCCAGUUGUCCUGCCAAGGGCAUGGCUGGUUAGCGACCUGCGGAAAGGAUAACCGCUGAAAGCAUCUAAGCGGGAAGCCUCUUCCGAGAUGAAUUCACCCACAGGGUUAACCUGGUAAGGCCCGUGGUAGACCACCACGUUGAUAGGCCGGAAGUGUAAGC
rnacentral:rRNA from 1 species